rnacentral:rRNA from 1 species
CAGUAGCCGCGGGAAUACGUAGGUGGCAAGCGAUGUCCGGAAUUAUUGGGCGUAAAGGGCUCGCAGGCGGUUUCUUAAGUCUGAUGUGAAAGCCCCCGGCUCAACCGGGGAGGGUCAUUGGAAACUGGGAAACUUGAGUGCAGAAGAGGAGAGUGGAAUUCCACGUGUAGCGGUGAAAUGCGUAGAGAUGUGGAGGAACACCAGUGGCGAAGGCGACUCUCUGGUCUGUAACUGACGCUGAGGAGCGAAAGCGUGGGGAGCGAACAGGAUUAGAUACCCCAGUAGUCCCUGUCUCUUAUAC